rnacentral:rRNA from 1 species
UGAACGCUGGCGGCGUGCUUAACACAUGCAAGUCGAACGGAAAGGCCCAAGCUUGCUUGGGUACUCGAGUGGCGAACGGGUGAGUAACACGUGGGUGAUCUGCCCUGCACUUCGGGAUAAGCCUGGGAAACUGGGUCUAAUACUGGAUAGGACCACUUCUUGGAUGGUGUGGUGGAAAGUUUUUUCGGUGUGGGAUGAGCUCGCGGCCUAUCAGCUUGUUGGUGGGGUAAUGGCCUACCAAGGCGUCGACGGGUAGCCGGCCUGAGAGGGUGUACGGCCACAUUGGGACUGAGAUACGGCCCAGACUCCUACGGGAGGCAGCAAUGGGGAAUAUUGCACAAUGGGCGCAAGCCUGAUGCAGCGACGCCGCGUGGGGGAUGACGGCCUUCGGGUUGUAAACUCCUUUCGCUAGGGACGAAGCGUUUUUGUGACGGUACCUGGAGAAGAAGCACCGGCUAACUACGUG